CAGUCGCCGCGGUAAUACGGAGGAUCCAAGCGUUAUCCGGAAUUAUUGGGUUUAAAGGGUCCGUAGGCGGUCUUGUAAGUCAGUGGUGAAAGCCCAUCGCUCAACGGUGGAACGGCCAUUGAUACUGCAGGACUUGAAUUAUUGGGAAGUAACUAGAAUAUGUAGUGUAGCGGUGAAAUGCUUAGAGAUUACAUGGAAUACCAAUUGCGAAGGCAGGUUACUACCAAUUGAUUGACGCUGAUGGACGAAAGCGUGGGUAGCGAACAGGAUUAGAUACCCCCGUAGUCCCUGUCUCUUAUCA
rnacentral:rRNA from 1 species